rnacentral:rRNA from 1 species
GACGAACGCAGGCGGCGUGCUUAACACAUGCAAGUCGAACGCUGAAGCUCAGCUUUUGUUGGGUGGAUGAGUGGCGAACGGGUGAGUAACACGUGAGUAACCUGCCCCCUUCUUUGGGAUAACGCCCGGAAACGGGUGCUAAUACUGGAUAUUCACUGGUCUUCGCAUGGGGGUUGGUGGAAAGGGUUUUUCUGGUGGGGGAUGGGCUCGCGGCCUAUCAGCUUGUUGGUGGGGUGAUGGCCUACCAAGGCUUUGACGGGUAGCCGGCCUGAGAGGGUGACCGGUCACAUUGGGACUGAGAUACGGCCCAGACUCCUACGGGAGGCAGCAGUGGGGAAUAAUGCACAAUGGGCACAAGCCUGAUGCAGCGACGCCGCGUGAGGGAUGGAGGCCUUCGGGUUGUGAACCUCUUUCGCUCAUGGUCAAGCCGCAACAAUGGUUGUGGUGAGGGUAGUGGGUAAAGAAGCGCCGGCUAACUACGUG